rnacentral:rRNA from 1 species
AUUGAACGCUGGCGGCAGGCCUAACGCAUGCAAGUCGAGCGGAUGAAGGGAGCUUGCUCCUGGAUUCAGCGGCGGACGGGUGAGUAAUGCCCAGGAAUCUGCCUGGCAGUGGGGGAUAACGUCCGGAAACGGGCGCUAAUACCGCAUACGUCCUGAGGGAGAAAGUGGGGGAUCUUCGGACCUCACGCUAUCAGAUGAGCCUAGGUCGGAUUAGCUAGUUGGUGGGGUAAAGGCCUACCUAGGCGACGAUCCGUAACUGGUCUGAGAGGAUGAUCAGUCACACUGGAACUGAGACACGGUCCAGACUCCUACGGGAGGCAGCAGUGGGGAAUAUUGGGCAAUGGGCGAAAGCCUGAUCCAGCCAUGCCGCGUGUGUGAAGAAGGUCUUCGGAUUGUAAAGCACUUUUAGUUGGGAGGAAGAGCAGUAAGUUAAUACGUUGCUGUUUUGACGGUACCAACAGAAUAAGCACCGGCUAACUUCGUG